UGGCUCAGAACGAACGCUGACGGCGCGUCUUAAGCAUGCAAGUCGAACGAGAAAGUAUCCUUCGGGGUACAAGUAAAGUGGCGAACGGUGUGAGUAACAUGUGGAUAAUCCGCCCAUGUAGUGGGGGCAACUCGCUGAAGAGCGAGCUAAUACCGAAUGAGAUAGUCUUUACAUAUGUGAGGAUUAUGAAAGGUUUCGGCCGCUUCAGGAUGAGCCUGCGGUCUAUCAGCUAGUUGGUGAGGUAAAUGCUCACCAGGGCUACGAUAGAUAGCCGGCCUGAGAGGGUGUACGGUCACAUUGGAACUGAGACACGGUCCAGACUCCUACGGGAGGCAGCAGCUAAGAAUAUUCCGCAAUGGGCGAAAGCCUGACGGAGCGACGCCGUGUGGUUGAUGAAGGCCUUACAGGUUGUAAAAACCUUUCAUUCGAGAAGAUGGGCAAGCCUCGAGCUUGCUUGACGGAAUCGAACGAAUAAGCCCCGGCAAAUUACGUGCCAGCAGCCGCGGUAAUACGUA
rnacentral:rRNA from 1 species